AGCGGCGCUGAUUACUACGACUACGGCCACGGGCUCAGCGACGAGACGUACGAUUCCUACGGGCAAGAGGAGUGGACUAACUCGAGACACAAGGCUCCCUCGGCGCGGACAGCGAAGGGCGUCUACCGAGACCAGCCAUACGGCCGCUACUGAUUGUACUGACUUUCUGAUGUUGUGAAAUAGCCCAUCUCCACCCGUCCUGUAAACUGUUCAAAGAGACAUGGGCCGAGUUGCGAAGCCGAAGGAAGGCUGGGCCCCGGCGCCGAGCGGGUGAGCGUCUCCUGCCCGCGGCUGUGACGCGUCGGGAAGAUGGCGGCCAUUUCUCGCUCAUCUAGUCGCACGGGCGGUGCCCCUGGCUGGUGCCUCUUACCAGCACCGGCGGCGGCGGCAGGUUAACGGGUCCCGUCAGAAAUGAGGCUUCUGGAGACGAACAAGCCAGCCCAGCUCAGCUUUGUUUACACACUCAAUUACUCUCUCCAACAGAAAUGGAACAGCCUAGCCCGGCCGGCGUGGCUCAGUGAUUGAGCCUCAACCCAGGA